rnacentral:rRNA from 1 species
GACAGAGGGUGCAAUCGUUGUUCGGAAUUACUGGGCGUAAAGCGCAUGUAGGCGGCAACGCAAGUCGGGCGUGAAAUCCCACGGCUCAACCGUGGAAGUGCACUCGAAACUGCGUAGCUAGAGUCCUGGAGAGGAAGGUGGAAUGCUUGGUGUAGAGGUGAAAUUCGUAGAUAUCAAGCGGAACACCGGUGGCGAAGGCGGCCUUCUGGACAGUGACUGACGCUGAGAUGCGAAAGCGUGGGGAGCAAACAGG